rnacentral:rRNA from 1 species
UACGAAGGGGGCUAGCGUUGCUCGGAAUCACUGGGCGUAAAGGGUGCGUAGGCGGGUCUUUAAGUCAGAGGUGAAAUCCUGGAGCUCAACUCCAGAACUGCCUUUGAUACUGAAGAUCUUGAGUUCGGGAGAGGUGAGUGGAACUGCGAGUGUAGAGGUGAAAUUCGUAGAUAUUCGCAAGAACACCAGUGGCGAAGGCGGCUCACUGGCCCGAUACUGACGCUGAGGUGCGAAAGCGUGGG